rnacentral:lncRNA from 1 species
GGAAGGAAGGAAGGACGAAGAAAGGAAAGGAAAAGAAAGAAAAUAACUUUUCCACAAUACAUUAUGAUAAAAUAUACUGAACAAGAAUAGAAUUUUUCAACCUCAAAAUAAAAACAUCAGGUCACAUUUAGAAUCAAGCCAUCUGAUUCCUCAGCAAACUCAACAGGUAGAUUUGGAAGGGUGUGUUCUAAGUCCUGAAAGAAAAUAACUGUCAACCUAGACUGUUGCAUAAAACAAAGCAAUUCUUCAAAAACUAAAGAAAAAUAAACACUUUCCAAGAUAAGAAGAAGCUAAAAGAAUUCAUGGCUACUAACUUAGUACUACAGAACUUAUAU